rnacentral:rRNA from 1 species
UACGGAGGGUGCGAGCGUUGUCCGGAAUCACUGGGCGUAAAGGGCGCGUAGGCGGCGCGAGCAGUCGAUCGUGAAAGUCCGGAGCUCAACUCCGGAUCGGCGGUCGAUACUCGCGUGCUUGAGCACUGUAGAGGCAGAUGGAAUUCCGGGUGUAGCGGUGGAAUGCGUAGAGAUCCGGAAGAACACCGGUGGCGAAGGCGGUCUGCUGGGCAGUUGCUGACGCUGAUGCGCGACAGCGUGGGGAGCAAACAGG